rnacentral:rRNA from 1 species
GCAAGUCGAGGGGUAACAUUGUGCUUGCACAGAUGACGACCGGCGCACGGGUGCGUAACGCGUAUAGAACCUACCUUUUACAGGGGGAUAGCCUUUAGAAAUGAAGAUUAAUACCCCAUAGUAUUGCGAGAUGGCAUCAUUUUGUAAUUAAAGAUUUAUCGGUAAAAGAUGGCUAUGCGUCCUAUUAGCUAGAUGGUAAGGUAACGGCUUACCAUGGCAACGAUAGAUAGGGGCCCUGAGAGGGGGAUC